rnacentral:rRNA from 1 species
GUGGGGAAUAUUGGGCAAUGGGCGAAAGCCUGACCCAGCAACGCCGCGUGAAGGAAGAAGGCCCUCGGGUUGUAAACUUCUUUUGUCAGGGACGAAGAAAGUGACGGUACCUGACGAAUAAGCCACGGCUAACUACGUGCCAGCAGCCGCGGUAAUACGUAGGUGGCAAGCGUUAUCCGGAUUUACUGGGUGUAAAGGGCGUGUAGGCGGGGCGACAAGUCAGAUGUGAAAAUUAUGGGCUCAACCCAUAACCUGCAUUUGAAACUGUAGUUCUUGAGUGAUGGAGAGGCAGGCGGAAUUCCGUGUGUAGCGGUGAAAUGCGUAGAUAUACGGAGGAACACCAGUGGCGAAGGCGGCCUGCUGGACAUUAACUGACGCUGAGGCGCGAAAGCGUGGGGAGCAAACAGGAUUAGAUACCCCGGUAGUCC